UGGUGUGGCUCAGUUGGUAGAGCAGCGCAUUCGUAAUGCGCAGGUCGCCGGUUCGAGUCCGGCCACC
rnacentral:tRNA from 1 species